UACGUAGGGUGCGAGCGUUGUCCGGAUUUAUUGGGCGUAAAGGGCUCGUAGGCGGCGUGUCGCGUCGGGAGUGAAAGCUCGGGGCUCAACCCCGAGUCGGCCGUGCGAACUACUGGGCUGGAGCACUGUAGAGGCAGGCGGAAUUCCGGGUGUAGCGGUGGAAUGCGUAGAGAUCCGGAAGAACACCGGUGGCGAAGGCGGCCUGCUGGGCAGUGCUGACACUGAGGCGCGACAGCGUGGGAGCAACAG
rnacentral:rRNA from 1 species